rnacentral:rRNA from 1 species
AGGUUACUUCGGUAACUGACCUAGCGGCGGACGGGUGAGUAAUGCUUAGGAAUCUGCCUAUUAGUGGGGGACAACAUUCCGAAAGGAAUGCUAAUACCGCAUACGCCCUACGGGGGAAAGCAGGGGAUCUUCGGACCUUGCGCUAAUAGAUGAGCCUAAGUCGGAUUAGCUAGUUGGUGGGGUAAAGGCCUACCAAGGCGACGAUCUGUAGCGGGUCUGAGAGGAUGAUCCGCCACACUGGGACUGAGACACGGCCCAGACUCCUACGGGAGGCAGCAGUGGGGAAUAUUGGACAAUGGGCGGAAGCCUGAUCCAGCCAUGCCGCGUGUGUGAAGAAGGCCUUUUGGUUGUAAAGCACUUUAAGCGAGGAGGAGGCUCCUUUAGUUAAUACCUAAAGAGAGUGGACGUUACUCGCAGAAUAAGCACCGGCUAACUCUGUGCCAGCAGCCGCGGUAAUACAGAGGGUGCGAGCGUUAAUCGGAUUUACUGGGCGUAAAGCGUGCGUAGGCGGCUUUUUAAGUCGGAUGUGAAAUCCCUGAGCUUAACUUAGGAAUUGCAUUCGAUACUGGAAAGCUAGAGUAUGGGAGAGGAUGGUAGAAUUCCAGGUGUAGCGGUGAAAUGCGUAGAGAUCUGGAGGAAUACCGAUGGCGAAGGCAGCCAUCUGGCCUAAUACUGACGCUGAGGUACGAAAGCAUGGGGAGCAAACAGGAUUAGAUACCCUGGUAGUCCAUGCCGUAAACGAUGUCUACUAGCCGUUGGGGCCUUUGAGGCUUUAGUGGCGCAGCU